rnacentral:rRNA from 1 species
UACGGAGGGGGCUAGCGUUGUUCGGAAUUACUGGGCGUAAAGCGCACGUAGGCGGCUUUGUAAGUUAGAGGUGAAAGCCCGGGGCUCAACUCCGGAACUGCCUUUUGAUACUGAAGAUCUUGAGUUCGGGAGAGGUGAGUGGAACUGCGAGUGUAGAGGUGAAAUUCGUAGAUAUUCGCAAGAACACCAGUGGCGAAGGCGGCUCACUGGCCCGAUACUGACGCUGAGGCACGAAAGCGUGGGGGAGCAAACAGG